rnacentral:rRNA from 1 species
UACAGAGGUCCCGAGCGUUGUUCGGAUUCACUGGGCGUAAAGGGCGCGUAGGCGGCCACCGCAAGUCGACUGUGAAAUCUCCGGGCUUAACCCGGAACGGUCAGCCGAUACUGCGAGGCUAGAGUGCAGAAGGGGCAACUGGAAUUCUCGGUGUAGCGGUGAAAUGCGUAGAUAUCGAGAGGAACACCUGCGGCGAAGGCGGGUUGCUGGGCUGACACUGACGCUGAUGCGCGAAAGCUAGGGGAGCGAACGGG